GCCAGGCAUGGUGGAGCACGCCUGUAAUCCAGCAGUUUGGGAGGCUGAGGCAAGAGGAUCGAAAGUUCAAAGCCAGCCUCAGCAAUUUAGCGAGGCCUUAAGCAAGUCAGUGAGACUUUGUCUCUA
rnacentral:sRNA from 1 species